rnacentral:rRNA from 1 species
GACGAACGCUGGCGGCACGCUUAACACAUGCAAGUCGAACGAAGCAAUUUCACCGUAGCUUGCUACACCGAAAUUGCUUAGUGGCGGACGGGUGAGUAACACGUGAGCAAUCUGCCUUUUAGAGGGGGAUACCUGUUGGAAACGACAGUUAAUACCGCAUAAUAUAAUCGAACCGCAUGAUUUGAUUAUCAAAGAUUUAUCGCUAAAAGAUGAGCUCGCGUCUGAUUAGAUAGUUGGUGAGGUAACGGCUCACCAAGUCAACGAUCAGUAGCCGGACUGAGAGGUUGAACGGCCACAUUGGGACUGAGAUACGGCCCAGACUCCUACGGGAGGCAGCAGUGGGGAAUAUUGGGCAAUGGGCGCAAGCCUGACCCAGCAAUGCCGCGUGAAGGAAGAAGGCUUUCGGGUUGUAAACUUCUUUUGUCAGGGACGAGCAGAAGACGGUACCUGACGAAUAAGCCACGGCUAACUACGUGCCAGCAGCCGCGGU